AGAAGUGGAGAAAUCUGAAGAAGCCAAGUAGCUUCCAACAGGACCAAGCUCUGAAUAAUCACUUGUGUUUACCAAAGAAAAAAAUUAAUUUGCAUAUAUACAACUACUUGAGAAGGAAAAGUUCAUAAAGCCACUGUAAUAGCCACAAAAUUAUCAUUUGAAAGAGUCCCUCUUCGUCAUGUCAAUCGAUAAGUCAUGGAUUGGAAAACCACGAAACACGCACGAGUAUAAAGAUGGUCUAAACAAGUUUUUGGAUUUCGCUUUUGAGCAUCGAUCUCCCGGGACAAGUCGGCAGCUGCAAGUUCCUCCCGAGACAAGUCGGCAGCAGCUGCAAGUUCAUCCCGAGACAAGUCGGUAGCUUCAAAUUCUUCUGAGCAUCCAUCCGAACCUAAACGUAAACGUGGACGUGAAUCUAAACAUCAUUGGACUGUUGAUGCCAUAGAUGAAUACGAAAAUAGUACACGCCUUCAUUUAUUAGCGAA